rnacentral:rRNA from 1 species
UACGUAGGGGGCAAGCGUUGUCCGGAAUCAUUGGGCGUAAAGAGCGUGUAGGCGGCUCGGUAAGUCCGCUGUGAAAGUCCAGGGCUCAACCCUGGAAUGCCGGUGGAAACUGUCGAGCUAGAGUCCGGAAGAGGCGAGUGGAAUUCCUGGUGUAGCGGUGAAAUGCGCAGAUAUCAGGAGGAACACCAAUGGCGAAGGCAGCUCGCUGGGACGGUACUGACGCUGAGACUCGAAAGCGUGGGGAGCAAACAGG